GAUGAACGCUGGCGGCGUGCCUAAUACAUGCAAGUCGAGCGAACGGACGAGAAGCUUGCUUCUCUGAUGUUAGCGGCGGACGGGUGAGUAACACGUGGAUAACCUACCUAUAAGACUGGGAUAACUUCGGGAAACCGGAGCUAAUACCGGAUAAUAUUUUGAACCGCAUGGUUCAAAAGUGAAAGACGGUCUUGCUGUCACUUAUAGAUGGAUCCGCGCUGCAUUAGCUAGUUGGUAAGGUAACGGCUUACCAAGGCAACGAUGCAUAGCCGACCUGAGAGGGUGGUCGGCCACCCGAGAACUGAGACACGGUCCAGACGCCUACGGGAGGCAGCAGUAGGGAAUGUUCCGCAAUGGGCGAAAGCCUGACGGAGCAACGCCGCAUGAGUGAUGAAGGUCUUCGGUUCGUAAAACUAUGUUAUUAGGGAAGAACAUAUGUGUAAGUAACUGUGCACAUCUUGCCGGUACCUAAUCAGAAAGCCACGGCUAACUACGUG
rnacentral:rRNA from 1 species